rnacentral:rRNA from 1 species
CUACACAUGCAGUCGAGCGGUAGAGAGAAGCUUGCUUCUCUUGAGAGCGGCGGACGGGUGAGUAAUGCCUAGGAAUCUGCCUGGUAGUGGGGGAUAACGUUCGGAAACGGACGCUAAUACCGCAUACGUCCUACGGGAGAAAGCAGGGGACCUUCGGGCCUUGCGCUAUCAGAUGAGCCUAGGUCGGAUUAGCUAGUUGGUGAGGUAAUGGCUCACCAAGGCGACGAUCCGUAACUGGUCUGAGAGGAUGAUCAGUCACACUGGAACUGAGACACGGUCCAGACUCCUACGGGAGGCAGCAGUGGGGAAUAUUGGACAAUGGGCGAAAGCCUGAUCCAGCCAUGCCGCGUGUGUGAAGAAGGUCUUCGGAUUGUAAAGCACUUUAAGUUGGGAGGAAGGGUUGUAGAUUAAUACUCUGCAAUUUUGACGUUACCGACAGAAUAAGCACCGGCUAACUCUGUGCCAGCAGCCGCGGUAAUACAGAGGGUGCAAGCGUUAAUCGGAAUUACUGGGCGUAAAGCGCGCGUAGGUGGUUUGUUAAGUUGGAUGUGAAUCCCCG